rnacentral:lncRNA from 1 species
UGAUACGGUAACAAAAAUCUAUGUUAUUAGGUCUAUUUAUAUAACUUAUUUGCCGAAUGCUUAUGAAUAUCAGAACAAUGAUAUGAAACAUAGAUUUUUACUUUAUUAUAAGCUUAUUUAUAUUAAUAUUUGUUAAUUUAGCAAUAUUACGCUUCCAAGAUUACAGUUUUAGAACAAAAAAUUUUCAUAGCGAAAAAUAAGCCUUGACUAUUUUCUUAAUCAUCUUUAGAAAACAGUUCUAUAAACAUGAAUAUCUCUAUGCAAUUUUAGUUUAAAUGAGUGAAAAAUUAAAUAAAACGACAUAAAAUACCUUAAAAAUAGUUUUAUUUUGCCCAAUAAUAAGCAUUUUUCCAAAUAUAUCAAUGUCUAAAAAUGCGAAUGAAGUCCUAAAUUUAUUUUAAGUGCAUGUAUUUUCCUUAAAAUUAAUUAUUUAAGGAAUGGUUUCUAAACCAAUUAAAUAUAUAUUUACAUCCAUAUAAAAUUGUGAAAUUAAUUUAGAUAAUCAUCAAAAUUGUUUUAGAAUCGCAGAAUAUUAUUUUUUAACUUAAACAGUAGCUUAAUGGCUUCAUUUAACAUUACUCAAUUCUGACGAUAAAUAAAACAUAAUGAACAAAAUGGCCGCUCGCAACACGGAUUACAUCAUAUCUAAAUUUAAAUCAGAAUGGUCCGUUUCUUUAAUUUAAAUAAAUUAAUGCAUGAAAAAAGCUAACAUUACAUAAUUACAAAAUUUUUAAGGACAAAAAUUUUGUUUAAUUAGACAGUAACAUUCCUAACAAUCCCAUUUCUAUUUAUGGCACCGAAUGAAUAACGGUGAGGAACUCUUGUAUAGGCACGUAAAAAAAUUAAUGAACACCAUUAGGUACUUUUUAUGGUCCUCUACGAUUCGAGCCCAUGACAUUGGAGUUGUAGACGACAAUAGUUUUACGAUGUCGUUUCACCUGCACUUUUAUUCUCGCCGAGUUGAUCCUUCGAUUGGUCAACAAUCUGGACUUAGCACUCUUAGACCAAACUGUGUCUGUCCAGGCGUCCAGAAAUGAUAGCGAACGGUCUUGGUUAUAAAGCCAGAGGUAUGGUACCAAUUGGACACGUGAUCUGUAGAUCAUGGUCGGAUAAUCCCACUUUCCGUCAUAGCCUGGAAAGGUAAAUGAAUUAUUAUAGUUUACUAUUUAUAUCACACUUUACUAUUUAUAACUUGAUAGAUUAUAAAUUCAUCACAUGAAUUGCUUAGAGCAUAUCAUGUAUGACUGUAUAAUAUUUUACUCUUAAUUCUAAUUUUAUGGCAUCAUUACCUUUCAAGUAUCCUAUAACUGAAUCAAUAUUUUAAAUGUAUCAUAUCUGUUUACAGUUAUGUAAAAAGUUAUAUAACUUUUUUAAUGCAAAGUAAAUACUAUAUCUUAUGUUGUUAUAAAGGAG